rnacentral:rRNA from 1 species
AUUGAACGCUGGCGGCAGGCCUAACACAUGCAAGUCGAGCGGAUGAAGGGAGCUUGCUCCUGGAUUCAGCGGCGGACGGGUGAGUACUGCCUAGGAAUCUGCCUGGUAGUGGGGGAUAACGUCCGGUAACGGGCGCUAAUACCGCAUCCGUCCUGCGGGAGAAAGUGGGGGAUCUUCGGACCUCACGCUAUCAGAUGAGCCUAGGUCGGAUUAGCUAGUUGGUGGGGUAAAGGCCUACCAAGGCGACGAUCCGUAACUGGUCUGAGAGGAUGAUCAGUCACACUGGAACUGAGACACGGUCCAGACUCCUACGGGAGGCAGCAGUGGGGAAUAUUGGACAAUGGGCGAAAGCCUGAUCCAGCCAUGCCGCGUGUGUGAAGAAGGUCUUCGGAUUGUAAAGCACUUUAAGUGGGGAGGAAGGGCAGUAAGUUAAUACCUUGCUGUUUUGACGUUACCAACAGAAUAAGCACCGGCUAACUUCGUG